CAUAUUGUGAGCUCGAUGAGUAGGGCGGGACACGUGGUAUCCUGUCUGAAUAUGGGGGGACCAUCCUCCAAGGCUAAAUACUCCUGACUGACCGAUAGUGAACCAGUACCGUGAGGGAAAGGCGAAAAGAACCCCGGCGAGGGGAGUGAAAAAGAACCUGAAACCGUGUACGUACAAGCAGUGGGAGCACGCUUAGGCGUGUGACUGCGUACCUUUUGUAUAAUGGGUCAGCGACUUAUAUUCUGUAGCAAGGUUAACCGAAUAGGGGAGCCGAAGGGAAACCGAGUCUUAACUGGGCGUUAAGUUGCAGGGUAUAGACCCGAAACCCGGUGAUCUAGCCAUGGGCAGGUUGAAGGUUGGGUAACACUAACUGGAGGACCGAACCGACUAAUGUUGAAAAAUUAGCGGAUGACUUGUGGCUGGGGGUGAAAGGCCAAUCAAACCGGGAGAUAGCUGGUUCUCCCCGAAAGCUAUUUAGGUAGCGCCUCGUGAAUUCAUCUCCGGGGGUAGAGCACUGUUUCGGCAAGGGGGUCAUCCCGACUUACCAACCCGAUGCAAACUGCGAAUACCGGAGAAUGUUAUCACGGGAGACACACGGCGGGUGCUAACGUCCGUCGUGAAGAGGGAAACAACCCAGACCGCCAGCUAAGGUCCCAAAGUCAUGGUUAAGUGGGAAACGAUGUGGGAAGGCCCAGACAGCCAGGAUGUUGGCUUAGAAGCAGCCAUCAUUUAAAGAAAGCGUAAUAGCUCACUGGUCGAGUCGGCCUGCGCGGAAGAUGUAACGGGGCUAAACCAUGCACCGAAGCUGCGGCAGCGACGCUGAUGCGUUGUUGGGUAGGGGAGCGUUCUGUAAGCCUGUGAAGGUGUGCUGUGAGGUAUGCUGGAGGUAUCAGAAGUGCGAAUGCUGACAUAAGUAACGAUAAAGCGGGUGAAAAGCCCGCUCGCCGGAAGACCAAGGGUUCCUGUCCAACGUUAAUCGGGGCAGGGUGAGUCGACCCCUAAGGCGAGGCCGAAAGGCGUAGUCGAUGGGAAACAGGUUAAUAUUCCUGUACUUGGUGUUACUGCGAAGGGGGGACGGAGAAGGCUAUGUUGGCCGGGCGACGGUUGUCCCGGUUUAAGCGUGUAGGCUGGUUUUCCAGGCAAAUCCGGAAAACUAAGGCUGAGGCGUGAUGACGAGGCACUACGGUGCUGAAGCAACAAAUGCCCUGCUUCCAGGAAAAGCCUCUAAGCAUCAGGUAACAUCAAAUCGUACCCCAAACCGACACAGGUGGUCAGGUAGAGAAUACCAAGGCGCUUGAGAGAACUCGGGUGAAGGAACUAGGCAAAAUGGUGCCGUAACUUCGGGAGAAGGCACGCUGAUAUGUAGGUGAAGUCCCUCGCGGAUGGAGCUGAAAUCAGUCGAAGAUACCAGCUGGCUGCAACUGUUUAUUAAAAACACAGCACUGUGCAAACACGAAAGUGGACGUAUACGGUGUGACGCCUGCCCGGUGCCGGAAGGUUAAUUGAUGGGGUCAGCGCAAGCGAAGCUCUUGAUCGAAGCCCCGGUAAACGGCGGCCGUAACUAUAACGGUCCUAAGGUAGCGAAAUUCCUUGUCGGGUAAGUUCCGACCUGCACGAAUGGCGUAAUGAUGGCCAGGCUGUCUCCACCCGAGACUCAGUGAAAUUGAACUCGCUGUGAAGAUGCAGUGUACCCGCGGCAAGACGGAAAGACCCCGUGAACCUUUACUAUAGCUUGACACUGAACAUUGAGCCUUGAUGUGUAGGAUAGGUGGGAGGCUUUGAAGUGUGGACGCCAGUCUGCAUGGAGCCGACCUUGAAAUACCACCCUUUAAUGUUUGAUGUUCUAACGUUGACCCGUAAUCCGGGUUGCGGACAGUGUCUGGUGGGUAGUUUGACUGGGGCGGUCUCCUCCUAAAGAGUAACGGAGGAGCACGAAGGUUGGCUAAUCCUGGUCGGACAUCAGGAGGUUAGUGCAAUGGCAUAAGCCAGCUUGACUGCGAGCGUGACGGCGCGAGCAGGUGCGAAAGCAGGUCAUAGUGAUCCGGUGGUUCUGAAUGGAAGGGCCAUCGCUCAACGGAUAAAAGGUACUCCGGGGAUAACAGGCUGAUACCGCCCAAGAGUUCAUAUCGACGGCGGUGUUUGGCACCUCGAUGUCGGCUCAUCACAUCCUGGGGCUGAAGUAGGUCCCAAGGGUAUGGCUGUUCGCCAUUUAAAGUGGUACGCGAGCUGGGUUUAGAACGUCGUGAGACAGUUCGGUCCCUAUCUGCCGUGGGCGCUGGAGAACUGAGGGGGGCUGCUCCUAGUACGAGAGGACCGGAGUGGACGCAUCACUGGUGUUCGGGUUGUCAUGCCAAUGGCACUGCCCGGUAGCUAAAUGCGGAAGAGAUAAGUGCUGAAAGCAUCUAAGCACGAAACUUGCCCCGAGAUGAGUUCUCCCUGACUCCUUGAGAGUCCUGAAGGAACGUUGAAGACGACGACGUUGAUAGGCCGGGUGUGUAAGCGCAGCGAUGCGUUGAGCUAACCGGUACUAAUGAACCGUGAGGCUUAACCUUA
rnacentral:rRNA from 2 species